UAUAUAAAAAACAGGGUUUUGCUAUGUAGUCUUGGCUGUCCUCCAGCUGGCCUCAAACUCACAGAGGUUCACCUGCAUCUUCCUCCCAAAUGCUGGGACCAAAUGUAUGUGUUACCAUGCCCAGUUACUAUUUUGUACUUCAGAAAUUUCUUUUUUAUUUAAAAAUUUUACUUAUGUAUAUGGAUGUCUUGCCUACAUGUAUCUGUACACCACUUACAGAGGUCAGAAGAGAGCGUCAGAAUCCCUGGGGCUGGAGUUUCAGAUAGUCGUGAGCCACCAUGUAAGUUCAGUUGGUAGGAGUGCUUGCCUCCAAGCCUGGACCUGCGAACACCGCAGUCCAUGUAGAGGAGAUGGAGAACUGACACGGGUCAUUCUCUGACACGAUAAAAAAAAUAAAUAAUAAAAUUUCUUAAAAUUAACUUACUGCCAGGCCUGAUGGCGCAUAUCUUUAAUCCCAUUUCUCGGGAAGCAGAGACAGGCAGAUUUCUGAGUUUGAGGCCACCCUGCAGUACAAAGUGAGUUCCAGGACAGCCAGGGCUACACAGAGAAACCCUGUCUCAAAAAACCAAAACGGCAAGUAGGUUAACCAGCUGACCCAUGUGAGCAGCUUCUGGGUGAGCGGUUCUCACUCCUGGGGGGGGAGACUAAUACAAUGUUGCAAUUGCGUUGCAGGUGGAAGCAGCAGUCAAGAAGCCCCAAAAGUGUAUAGUUGAUACUGUAUCGACUUUUCAGUAACAAAGGCAAAUCUAGCCCGGGGAAGCAGAGGUUAACAACGUCAUCCUUUUGAGGGGCUGUGCAACAGAUCAAAUAAAGGAAGGGGAUUUAUGAGUUCUACAGACUUGAUGAGUGCUGACGAUUGGGACUGGUCCCAUGGCAAUGGCUUGGCAGACCUCUCAGCCUCCAUCAGUAUCCAAGCGAUGUAACCUUUAUGUGUGCUCCCACCUCUGGGCUUCAGAAACCACUUUGCCAUUGCUGUAUGGACACCGAAGGCGGGCACUUGAGCAGGGGCCUCUGUACUUUUAGGAGCCUAAGAAAUGAUACAGAAAUCUCCUUUCUGUUGCUGCAUAAAUUAAUUUGGAGGCUUAAAAUAAUCGUCUAUCACCUCCCAGUUCUUCACUCAAGGUCUGGUUAGAGGAAUCAAAUGUUGGAGGCGGUUUCCACCUGAAGGUUCUGGAGAAGAUCCAAACUCAUUCUAGAUGGUAAGACUCUGCUCCUCCCCGCUGUGGACACAGGUCCUGUUUUUUGUUUUUGAUUUUUGUUUGUUUUUGUUUUGCUUUUUUGUUUGUUUGGUUUUGGUUUUUUUGCUGGGCUUUAGACAAGGAUUAUUCUCAGCUUUUCAAGGCCUCCGCCAUUUGCAAAGCAAAACCAGUGAGAACUCUUGUUCUUUGAACCUCUGAUCCCUGCUGCCACUCCCAGAGAUCUCUACCUCGAAAAUUUCAUUCGAUUAGGCCAGGCUUAUCCUGAUUAAUCUCUUUCUCUCUCUCUUUUUUAAAAUUACAUCCUUAUUUUUAUUGUAUGAAUGUUUUGUUUGCAUGUAUGUCUGUUUGCCACUUGUAUGCCCGGUCCCUGUGGAGAUCAGAAAAGGGCAUCAGCUCUCCUGGAACAGCAGUUACAGGUGGCUGUGAGCCACUCUAUGGGUGCUGGGAAUCAAACCCAGGUCCUCUGCAAGAGCAGCUAGUGUUCUUAACCACUGAGCCAUCUCUUCAGUGCCCUAAUUUCUCUUUCUUAACACUAAAUGUGCCAUGUCACAAUUACUGUCCUAGAAAUGGUAGUGAAUCCUGUCGAGUUGGUCGUCCCAAGGACUAUUUAGAAAGUGAACAUGGACCUAUCAGAGUGGGAAGCCUUGGAAGACAGGAUCCUGGGAACUGCACAGGCCUCUGAGAUCGUACAGGUGUUGACGUGACAUCAGUCUCCCACCUGCUGCAAGUGGACAAGCCAUGAAUUACUGAUCUGGUUUUUCAUUUGUAGGCAAUGCUAGGAUGGGACCGACAUUCACACACACAUCCCAGGGAUACCAUGGAGCUUGAAGAAAUGUGCAACGUGCUUAGCAUAGAACACAGUCAACAAGUGGGCUACUGGGAUCACUGACGUGUGGUGCUUCUUCUUCAUUGUCUACGUGAUGAAAUUUAGAAUCGCUAUAGAAACAAACCUCUGAGCAUGUCUGCCUCCUCCCUCGCCCCCAAUUAGGUUAACCGAAGUGGAAAGAGUCCCUCAAAAUACGGAUGGAAACAUUGAACGGGCUGGUAGCCCAGACUGAUUUUAGAAAAAAAGAGAGAAGAAAAGAGCUCACUUUCUGCUUCCUGACUGUAGAUGCUGCCCUAAUGCUUCUGCAGCCACAACUCCCACACAGUGAUGGCCUCAGCCCUCAAACCAUGAGCCAAAACAAACCUUUCUUUCCUUAAGUUGUUUGGUCAGGUGUCGUGUGAUUCAGUGAGUAACAGACACAGUACAUUUUCUCCAACCAUGUAUCGUCUCGAAACCUAAACAUAAAGCCAUUUCCAAAGCACUGGUCAGGUGCUCACCCUCGGCCGGUCACUGUUGGAUGACAGAGGUGUAGACAAAGAAGAUGGGUCAGAAGCAAGCAGGAGGAAACGAAUAUUUACCGGGUCUGACAUUUGAAUCUGACAGCUCCCUAACGUAUUUGUUCUUCAAGAGACAUCAAAGUCACUGAAGCCCCUGGGCUCCCUGAUGGCUGGAAUCUCUCCUCUGAGUUGACUGGGGUAGAAAAGCAUACGUCAGCGACCUCCACACCAGCUGGACCUGAGCUCCGUUGUGGCCUUCUUUUCUUGUCUUCCUUCAAAGCCCAUGUUCAGUGAUGAGCUACUCCCCUCUCUCACAGAAGCCUGGGUGUCCUGGGUCUCAGGACAUGAUUUAGAAGGCAAUUAACGGUACUGUGGCAAGCUCAUCUGCCCUCCAGUUAAGGGCUUUUGUGGUUUGGUCCUCAUACCAUCUCGUGGUCAGGAAGACUAACAUGGCUUUAAGUAGGUACUUAAGAGAACCUCGAGAUGAAGAAAACAUCCCACAGUUCUCUUUUCCCACAAGUAUGAGUAUGCAUGUCCCAUUGCGUGCGUGCGUGCAUGCGUGCGUGCGUGCGUGCGUGUGUGUGUGUGUGUGUGUGUGUGUGUGUGUGUGUGU
ensembl:lncRNA